rnacentral:lncRNA from 1 species
ACAGGACUGCAAGCAGUAGAGGCAGAUACCAGCGUGCAGACGCCUGCCAGCUUUGUCAGGAGGAUUUUGCUGCUGUGUGGAAUGAACUGGCUUUUUUCAAAAGGGAACACAAAAAGCUAUUGAUUGAAAAAUUGAAUCUUGAAGAGGAAUUAGAUCAGAUGAAAGUACACCAGUCUGUGGAGCUACUUUUUAAGCUUAGUGAAGAUGAUGGGCUCAAGAACAGUACUCCAAAGAAGAAUAUGGAAGCCAGUUCAGA